UACGGAGGAUCCAAGCGUUAUCCGGAUUUAUUGGGUUUAAAGGGUGCGUAGGCGGUUGAUUAAGUCAGAGGUGAAAGCCCGGAGCUCAACUCCGGAAUUGCCUUUGAAACUGGUUGACUUGAAUUUAAACGAAGUGGGCGGAAUGUGGCAAGUAGCGGUGAAAUGCAUAGAUAUGCCACAGAACACCGAUUGCGAAGGCAGCUCACUAGGUUAAUAUUGACGCUGAGGCACGAAAGCGUGGGGAUCAAACAGG
rnacentral:rRNA from 1 species